AACGAACGCUGGCGGCAGGCCUAACACAUGCAAGUCGAGCGCCCCGCAAGGGGAGCGGCGGACGGGUGAGUAACGCGUGGGAACGUACCCUUUGCUACGGAAUAGCCUCGGGAAACUGGGAGUAAUACCGUAUGUGCCCUCCGGGGGAAAGAUUUAUCGGCAAAGGAUCGGCCCGCGUUGGAUUAGGUAGUUGGUGGGGUAAUGGCCUACCAAGCCGACGAUCCAUAGCUGGUUUGAGAGGAUGAUCAGCCACACUGGGACUGAGACACGGCCCAGACUCCUACGGGAGGCAGCAGUGGGGAAUCUUAGACAAUGGGCGCAAGCCUGAUCUAGCCAUGCCGCGUGAGCGAUGAAGGCCUUAGGGUUGUAAAGCUCUUUCAGUGGGGAAGAUAAUGACUGUACCCACAGAAGAAGCCCCGGCUAACUCCGUGCCAGCAGCCGCGGUAAUACGGAGGGGGCUAGCGUUGUUCGGAAUUACUGGGCGUAAAGCGCACGUAGGCGGACUGGAAAGUCAGAGGUGAAAUCCCAGGGCUCAACCUUGGAACUGCCUUUGAAACUCCCGGUCUUGAGGUCGAGAGAGGUGAGUGGAAUUCCGAGUGUAGAGGUGAAAUUCGUAGAUAUUCGGAGGAACACCAGUGGCGAAGGCGGCUCACUGGCUCGAUACUGACGCUGAGGUGCGAAAGCG
rnacentral:rRNA from 1 species